CAUAAUAAAAGGAUCUCAGUCAACAGCCUCUCCAUCUACUCUUCUCCUGAAGUGCUGAGACCUGUGCUGCUCAUAGCUGAACAAGAAGGAGAACAAUCCUACGUCCUGGUGCUUCAUCUCAGUGUGUCCCCUAAUUCAUCCUCCAUCUCCUCGACCUACUUCACCUCCUAGACCUCCGUCACCACCUAAACCGCCUUCACCUCCUAAACCUCCUUCACCCCCUAGGCCUCCUUCACCUCCCAGACCUCCAUCAUCUGGUAAUAACUGUGGAGGAGGUGGAGGAGGAGGGGGAGGAGAAGGUUGUAGAGGAAAAAGAGGAUGUGGGAAAGAAGGUGGAGCCAGAAGAAGAAGAAGAAGAAGAAGAAGAAGAAGAAGAAGAAGAAGAAGAAGAAGAAGAAGAAGAAGAAGAAGAAGAAGGGGAAGAAGAAGAAGAGAGG